rnacentral:lncRNA from 1 species
UGAAGUUUCGCUAUCAGUAACCAUUCCACUCAGCUCCGCCCCUUGUCUGGCUUCUAUUUGUUUCUCUUCAUACUUGAGCUCAUUUUGCUAUCUGGAAGGAGGCAAGACACAGGGAACAUCCUCCCUCUACACUGAAGAUACUGGAGGCAGCUGAUUGGAAUUGGAUGCAGUCAGAUGGUCUUUCUUGCUAAUGGAAGAAGCUGUUGUACCAGUCAAAGAAGAGGUCAGGAAUAAGGAAGUGUCUUGCUUUGUGGAUUAGUUCAUUCUCGUUCUUGACUGGACACAGCACAAGAAGUGUUUUCUGUCUUAAAUUCAUGGAUAGAGAAGACCUAUUACAUCAGAAAAUAUUACAGGAGAUGUGUGUGAGCAAAGCAGUUCUGGUCUGGCACUCUUGAGCUGUGUGACGAGAUACAUUUUCAUGGAAAGAGAUUCAGACUCUGUCAUUGUCAAACCUGUAUAUUUGCUCCUCUGUGUGUGGGGGGAGGAGUUAAGAAAAAAGCAUGUUACGAGAAUCAACUCAGAAAUUGUAAAAAAUCAUAUAAACAGAAUUUUUAAAAUUAUAUUUUAAAUGGAUAUGUGAUCAAACCUUUAUAACUAAUAUAUAAAAUGCAACAUAAUUUGAAGACAAUAUUUGUUAUCUCUCACAG